AGAAUCAACGCUGGCGGCGUGCCUAACACAUGCAAGUCGAACGAGAAAGUGGAGCAAUCCAUGAGUAAAGUGGCGACCGGGUGAGUAACACGUGACUAACCUACCUUCGAGUUGGGGAUAACCCCGGGAAACCGGGGCUAAUACCGCAUAACAUCGCAAGAUCAAAGCAGCAAUGCGCUGGAAGAGGGGGUCGCGGCUGAUUAGCUAGUUGGCGGGUAACGCCCACCAAGGCGAAGAUCGGUA
rnacentral:rRNA from 1 species